AAUGAACGCUGGCGGCGCGCCUAAUACAUGCAAGUCGAAGCGACGAAGACGUAGGCAAUACGUUUGUAAAGCGGCAAACGGGUGAGGAAUACAUGGGUAACCUACCCUCGAGUGGGGAAUAACUAGCCGAAAGGUUAGCUAAUACCGCGUACGCUUCUUGGACUUCGGUUCAGGGAGGAAAGCGAUGCCGAGGGUAUCGCGCUCUUGGAUGGGCUCAUGUCCUAUCAGCUUGNGGUGAGGUAACGGCUCACCAAGGCUUCGACGGGUAGCUGGUCUGAGAGGACGAUCAG
rnacentral:rRNA from 1 species